rnacentral:rRNA from 1 species
GACGAACGCUGGCGGCGUGCCUAACACAUGCAAGUCGAACGGAGAUACGAUUUCGGUUGUAUCUUAGUGGCGAACGGGUGAGUAACGCGUGAACAACCUGACUCUAAGAGGGGGAUAACACUCGGAAACGGGUGCUAAUACCGCAUAAGACCACGACCCGGCAUCGGGAUGAGGUCAAAGGAGCAAGCCGCUGAGAGAGGGGUUCGAGUCCCAUUAGAUAGCUGGCGGGGUAACGGCCCACCAUGGCAACGAUGGGUAGCCGAGCUGAGAGGCUGAUAGGCCACACUGGAACUGAGACACGGUCCAGACUCCUACGGGAGGCAGCAGUGGGGAAAAUUGGGCAAUGGGCGCAAGCCUGACCCAGCAACGCCGCGUGAGUGAAGAAGGCUUUCGGGUUGUAAACCUCUGUCCUUGGUGACGAAACAAAUGACGGUAGCCAAGGAGGAAGCCCCGGCUAACUACGUGCCAGCCGCCGCCGUAA